AGGACGAACGCUGGCGGCGCGCUUAACACAUGCAAGUCGAGCGAGAACCGGUCCUUCGGGACCGGGGAAAGCGGCGAACGGGUGAGUAACACGUGGGUAAUCAACCCUCGGUACCGGGAUAGCCCGAGGAAACUCGGAUUAAUACCGGAUGGCCCAACAGCCUUUCGGGGCGGUUGGAAAAGGUAGCUUCGGCCUCCGACCGAGGACGAGCCCGCGGCGGAUUAGCUUGUUGGUGGGGUAACGGCCCACCAAGGCGACGAUCCGUAGCUGGUCUGAGAGGACGAUCAGCCACACUGGGACUGAGACACGGCCCAGACUCCUACGGGAGGCAGCAGUGGGGAAUCUUGCACAAUGGGCGAAAGCCUGAUGCAGCGACGCCGCGUGAGGGAAGAAGGCUUUCGGGUUGUAAACCUCUUUCAGGAGGGACGAAGCUACUCGGGUUAAUAGCCCAGAGGGUGACGGUACCUCAGAAGAAGCCCCGGCUAACUACGUGCCAGCAGCCGC
rnacentral:rRNA from 1 species